CUUGGCUCAGACCUAGAAUGGGAUUUGCCCAAUAUCUUCCGCCGGCCGAGGAAGCUGCAAUUUCUGCAUUGAAAAGAGGUUUAGGCGCUUUGAAUACUUAUCUUGCCUCAAACACCUACUUGGUUGGGCAUGCUGUGACUUUGGCUGACAUUGUUACUACAUGCAAUCUCUAUCUGGGGUUUGCUCGCCUCAUGACUAAGAGCUUUACUUCAGAGUUUCCUCAUGUUGAGAGAUACUUCUGGACUAUGGUCAAUCAACCUAAUUUCAAAAAGAUAUUGGGUGAAGUCAAGCAGAC
rnacentral:misc_RNA from 1 species